UGCCCGACUAGAGGUAGGUAGGGGAGAUCGGAAUUCCUGGUGUAGCGGUGAAAUGCGCAGAUAUCAGGAGGAACACCGGUGGCGAAGGCGGAUCUCUGGGCCUUACCUGACGCUGAGGCGCGAAAGCUAGGGGAGCAAACAGGAUUAGAUACCCUGGUAGUCCUAGCCGUAAACGUUGGGUGCUAGGUGUGGGCGGAUAUCGACCCCGUCCGUGCCGAAGCUAACGCAUUAAGCACCCCGCCUGGGGAGUACGGCCGCAAGGCUAAAACUCAAAGGAAUUGACGGGGCCCCGCACAAGCGGCGGAGCAUGCGGCUUAAUUCGAUGCAACGCGAAGAACCUUACCUGGGUUUGACAUGCAGGGUGAAACCCGUGAAAGCGGGCGCUCUUCGGAGCCUGCACAGGUGGUGCAUGGCUGUCGUCAGCUCGUGCCGUGAGGUGUUGCCUUAAGUGGCGCAACGAGCGCAACCCCUGUCCUUAGUUGCCAGCGGAUCAUGCCGGGAACUCUAGGGAGACUGCCGGUGCCAAACCGGAGGAAGGUGGGGAUGACGUCAAGUCAGCAUGCCCCUUAUACCCAGGGCUGCACGCAUGCUACAAUGCGCGAUACAGAGGGCUGCGAUCCCGUAAGGGGGAGCGAAUCCCAAAAAGUCGCGCUCAGUUCGGAUCGAGGUCUGCAACCCGACCUCGUGAAGCCGGAGUCGCUAGUAAUCGCAGAUCAGCACUGCUGCGGUGAAUACGUUCCCGGGGCUUGUACACACCGCCCGUCACACCACGAAAGUGGGCAACACCCGAAGCCGGUGGCCUAACCCUUGUGGAGGGAGCCGUCGAAGGUGGGGCUCGCGAUUGGGGUGAAGUCGUAACAAGGUAGCC
rnacentral:rRNA from 1 species